GCCGGUGUGGCGGAAUUGGCAGACGCACUUGACUCAAAAUCAAGCGGAUAAUCUCCGUGCCGGUUCGAGUCCGGCCACCGGCA
rnacentral:tRNA from 1 species